rnacentral:rRNA from 1 species
AUGGAGACCGCUCCCUCCACUUUGGUGUCCCUUCUCGUCGUCCUCUUCCUCCUCUCCUCACCCGCCGCCAUGGCCCGGCCAGUCGUGGACGUGCUCACCCCCGACGUCCUCCUCGCCUCACCCGCCGCCGCGCCCUCGGCCUUGGCCCCCGGCCCCGACGUGCACGCCUCCGACUACAACGUGUACAUAGUCUUUGUCAGCCGCGCUGGUUACGUCGACUCCGUGGACUACGACGUCCGGCUGCUCGCCUCCGUCGUCGGAAGCACGGAGGAGGCAAAGAAGGCCAUGAUCUACCACUAUAGCGGUCUCGGGUUCGCGGCGAGGCUCACAUGUGAUCAAGCGGACCAGUUAGCAGGGAAGGAGGGCAUUGCAACCUUCAAGGACAAGACGUACUAUGUGGACAACGACGGUCGCUUGCCUCGAUUCUUUGAAGAGAAUGUCUGA